rnacentral:hammerhead_ribozyme from 1 species
NUCAGUUGAUGAGUCCCAAAUAGGACGAAACGCGCGUCCUGGAU